rnacentral:rRNA from 1 species
ACGAACGCUGGCGGCGUGCCUAAUACAUGCAAGUCGCGCGAAGUUUUUCUGGUGCUUGCACCGGAAAAACUUAGCGGCGAACGGGUGAGUAACACGUAAAGAACCUGCCUCAUAGACUGGGACAACUAUUGGAAACGAUAGCUAAUACCGGAUAACAGCAUUAACUGCAUGGUUGAUGUUUAAAAGUUGGUUUUGCUAACACUAUGAGAUGGCUUUGCGGUGCAUUAGCUAGUUGGUGGGGUAAAGGCCUACCAAGGCGACGAUGCAUAGCCGACCUGAGAGGGUGAUCGGCCACACUGGGACUGAGACACGGCCCAGACUCCUACGGGAGGCAGCAGUAGGGAAUCUUCCGCAAUGGGCGAAAGCCUGACGGAGCAACGCCGCGUGAGUGAAGAAGGAUUUCGGUUCGUAAAGCUCUGUUGUUAGGGAAGAAUGAUUGUGUAGUAACUAUACACAGUAGAGACGGUACCUAACCAGAAAGCCACGGCUAACUACGUG